GGGGAGGAGAGAGGGACAGAGAGCCUGCUUGCUUUAAAGGAGCCAACCGGACUCCUCUCCUCUCCCGCUUUGCUCCUUUAAAGAAGCAGGCUCUCUGUCCCUCUCUCCUCCCC